rnacentral:rRNA from 1 species
CCCUUAGAUGUUCUGGGCAGCACGCGCGCUACAAUGGUCUUCGCAAACGGAUGCAUUCUCGAAGGAGAAUGCCAAUCUUGGAAUCUGUGCCUUGGUCGGGACAGUUGCUUGCAAUUUUUCGACUCGAACCGGGAAUUCCUUGUAAUCGUGAUUCAUCACAUCACGAUGAAUACGUCCCUGCCCUUUGUACACACCGCCCGUCGCUCCUACCGAUCGAAGAGUUAGGUGAAUUGUUUUGAUCGAUAAGAUUUGACUAUGGUCAACUCUCGUUGUGAAAUUCUGUGAAUCUGACUGUUUAGAGGAAGGAAAAGUCGUAACA